rnacentral:misc_RNA from 1 species
GAAAUGCGAUAAGUAAUGUGAAUUGCAGAAUUCAGUGAAUCAUCGAAUCUUUGAACGCACAUUGCGCCCGCCAGUAUUCUGGCGGGCAUGCCUGUUCGAGCGUCAUUUCAACCAUCAAGCCCCCGGGCUUGUGUUGGGGACCUGCGGCUGCCCGCAGGCCCUGAAAACCAGUGGCGGGCUCGCUGUCACUCCGAGCGUAGUAGUAUCACCUCGCUCAGGGCGUGCUGCGGGUUCCGGCCGUUAAACCACCCAUUACCCCAAGGUUGACCUCGGAUCAGGUAGGAAUACCCGCUGAACUUAA